GACGAACGCUGGCGGCGUGCCUAAUACAUGCAAGUCGAACGGAGUGGCGCACGGGUGAGUAAUUUAUAGCUAAUCUGCCCUACACUAGAGGACAACAGUUGGAAACGGCUGCUAAUACUCUAUAGUGUAGGAUGAGGCUAUAGUGUAUCAGCUAGUUGGUGAGGUAAUGGCUAACCAAGGCUAUGACGCCUAACUGGUCUGCGUGGAUGAUCAGUCAAACGGGAACUGAGACACGGUCCAGAGCCCGACGGGAAGCAGCAGUAGGGAAAAUUGCUCAAGGGGGGAAAGUCUGAAGCAGCAACGCGGCGUGGAGGAUGACACUUUUCGGAGCGUAAACGCCUUUUGUUAGGGAAGCGGUACCUAACGAAUAAGCACCGGCUAACUCCGUGCCAGCCGCCGCGGUAAUUC
rnacentral:rRNA from 1 species